rnacentral:rRNA from 1 species
GACGAACGCUGGCGACGUGCUUAACACAUGCAAGUCGAACGGAAAGGCCCUGCUUUUGUGGGGUGCUCGAGUGGCGAACGGGUGAGUAACACGUGAGUAACCUGCCCUUGACUUUGGGAUAACUUCAGGAAACUGGGGCUAAUACCGGAUAGGAGCUCCUGCUGCAUGGUGGGGGUUGGAAAGUUUCGGCGGUUGGGGAUGGACUCGCGGCUUAUCAGCUUGUUGGUGGGGUAGUGGCUUACCAAGGCUUAGACGGGUAGCCGGCCUGAGAGGGUGACCGGCCACAUUGGGACUGAGAUACGGCCCAGACUCCUACGGGAGGCAGCAGUGGGGAAUAUUGCACAAUGGGCGGAAGCCUGAUGCAGCAACGCCGCGUGCGGGAUGACGGCCUUCGGGUUGUAAACCGCUUUCGCCUGUGACGAAGCGUGAGUGACGGUAAUGGGUAAAGAAGCACCGGCUAACUACGUG